rnacentral:misc_RNA from 1 species
UACGGGGGGUGCGAGCGUUAUUCGGAUUUAUUGGGCGUAAAGGGCGCGUAGGCGGUUGGGUAAGUCUGGUGUGAAAACGCUACCGCUCAACGGAGCGAUUGCAUUGGAAACUACUUAACUUGAGUACGGGAGAGGUGAGCGGAAUACCUGGUGUAGCGGUGGAAUGCGUAGAUAUCAGGUAGAAUACCGGUGGCGAAGGCGGCUCACUGGCCCGUAACUGACGCUGAGGCGCGAAAGCGUGGGGAGCAAACGGG